rnacentral:rRNA from 1 species
UACGAAGGGGGCUAGCGUUGCUCGGAAUCACUGGGCGUAAAGCGCACGUAGGCGGAUUGUUAAGUCAGGGGUGAAAUCCUGGAGCUCAACUCCAGAACUGCCUUUGAUACUGGCAAUCUCGAGUUCGGGAGAGGUGAGUGGAACUGCGAGUGUAGAGGUGAAAUUCGUAGAUAUUCGCAAGAACACCAGUGGCGAAGGCGGCUCACUGGCCCGGUACUGACGCUGAGGUGCGAAAGCGUGGGGAGCGAACAGG